ACUCUGGCCUAGGCAGAGUUAGGGGGGCCUCAGGCCUCCCCUCUUCCCCCCCCGGAGGGGGAGAAGGAACCCAGACACCCCCUGGCCUUCAACACCUACACGCAGCAGACACCAACAGCAAAACAACCCAGACAGAACUGCCAGCAGGUUCCCGUGCUGUGAUAUGUGAUUUUUGAGCAGAAGAGAACAACAUGGAUGGGGAUCAGCUCUCCAGGGAACACUGCCCUGGCACCCAAUCACCUCCGAGCCCCCCCAGCCUCUCAGGGGGGGCCAAUUUCAAACCAUGACAGGAGGUCACUGGCAGAUUCAGACUUUCACCCAACCCUGACGGGCGCCAGCAACGGAAUUGGUCAGAAAACGCCGAUUUUGGGGCCGCGAGUGCAAACCCUGAGGAACAUCAACCUCAUCCCACGCCCAGGGAAGAACCCGUGAGAGAGGAGGGAAGAUGAAGAUCAGAGAAAUACCAGCACCCAGCUGCGGGGAGUGGGCCCAAGAAGGAGCAGGAAGAGGCAACACAGGAAGCAGCGGAGGAGGAAGAGGAGGCGAUGGAGGACAAGGAGGAUGGGCA